AUGAUGGAAUAUGAACAGAGAACGGUUUUAUCUCAAAGAGAAUCACAGACAGAUGGUCUGCUCUUUAGUCGCGCUUUAGUGACUCAAAUACAGUCGGACAGUGCGCCGUUAUUUUUGGACGAGCAGUGUCCGGUUUAAGAACAGAAGCUACUGAGACUAUAAUAAAUCGCACGCGCGUCAAGCUCCUUUUCCUCCGCAUUCAACUAGGCGUAGCAGCGCAGUUGUGAAGGGCAGAACUCUCCCUCCCCUGUGACUCUUUACCCCCUCACCUGGCACGUCGUCCUCAAAAUCCAUAUCGUCUUGCCCCUCAUCUUCAUUGCUUAGCGAUCCGGGCAUCUUUACCGCAUAACAAGAAAAUCACAUUCGAGAAGCAGGAAUAAAGUCCAGAAACUUAACCCUCUGAAUGCCCAGAUUUUCAGCUUCAGAGGAGACGUCCACUGAAGGAGGUGAAGGAGCUGCAGCUGUCAGUGUGAGAGGCCAUCAUACUGAUGAAGGCCAUGCUGGGUGAAGAGCGGACAAAGAGGACGAAGAGGAGGAAAGUGCUAUCUGUACUCUAGCUGUUAAACAGAAUGCAGGACAAACUCGCAGAGAGGAAAAAGGCCCCUUUAAAAGCUACUGAAAGGUAAAUAUUGUCCAAACAGAUCCGGCAUGUCUAAAUGUCUGUCUGUGACAGUUUACUCACAUUGGCAGAGAACAGAGUUGUAGUGUGAUGGUCUGUGUCGGAACAGCAGUUGCUUGGGUUGCGUUUCAUUAGUCCAGUUAUUUGUUGAGAUUGUUUUUCUCUGUCCCCUUCCCAUCAUUGCCUGGAAGCUGGCUUGAUGUCUUCCAGUAAUUAAGCGGCAAUCUAGGACUCGGCAUGUACGUGUGUGUUUUUAUAUCAGGGUCACGCAAGAGCAAACAAAGGACAAAAUGAUAAAAUAUGGAUUAUUUUGGGAAAUAUGCAGUGUUUUGUGUGUAUGUGUGUGGAAUCAUUUAUACAUUGGUCCAGAGGUUUUUUUUUUACUUACAUUUCUGGCAGUCAGCAUGAAGAGAAGGCCACCAUCCUGCCCACUUAAAGGUAUAGUUCAUACAAAAGUAUAGAGUCUGUCAUCAUUCACUCACGUCAUGACUUUAUAUCUUAUCUUUGUUCUCAGGUGCACUUGGUCACCUGCUCCGCUUUUCUCAGCUCAGCCAAUAAAUA